rnacentral:rRNA from 1 species
GAUGAACGCUCGCUACAGGCUUAACACAUGCAAGUCGAGGGGAAACGACAUCGAAAGCUUGCUUUUGAUGGGCGUCGACCGGCGCACGGGUGAGUAACGCGUAUCCAACCUGCCCAUCACUUGGGAAUAACCUUGCGAAAGUAAGACUAAUACCCAAUGAUAUCCCACGAAGGCAUCGGAAUGGGAUUAAAGAUUUAUCGGUGAUGGAUGGGGAUGCGUCUGAUUAGCUUGUUGGCGGGGUAACGGCCCACCAAGGCAACGAUCAGUAGGGGUUCUGAGAGGAAGGUCCCCCACAUUGGAACUGAGACACGGUCCAAACUCCUACGGGAGGCAGCAGUGAGGAAUAUUGGUCAAUGGGCGAGAGCCUGAACCAGCCAAGUAGCGUGCAGGAAGACGGCCCUAUGGGUUGUAAACUGCUUUUAGAAGGGAAUAAAGUGGGUCACGUGUGACUUUUUGCAUGUACCUUAUGAAUAAGGACCGGCUAAUUCCGUG